rnacentral:lncRNA from 1 species
GAAAGCGAUAAGAACAAUAAAGUAAAAUGAACUUGAAAUUAAACUUAAUUGAAGUGCGAUAACAAUGAAAAGUAAAGCAAUUGAAAUAAACUUGAAUUGAAAUUACAAGAAAAUAUAAAUUGAACGAGAAUUUAAACUUAUAUUAAGAAAAGGAAAAACUCGCUACACUAAGUGCAUGAAAAGUAAAAUCCUAAGUUUAGGAAAAGAAAAGUGCGAGACGAAAAAUAGGUUUGUCUGUCUGAUGUUGUGUGUCUUCUGUCUUUGUUUGGUGAGGUUUAUAUAGGGCAUUCGUCAGCCCAUGGGCUGGCCAUUGAAUGGCCAAAUGUCA